rnacentral:lncRNA from 1 species
GGAAAACGUGGUCGGCCGCAAAACAAACAUGCUUGCGUAUGUGAAAUAUGAUGAUGGCUACCGUGCGGUUUUGCCCGACCGCCUAAUUAAGGGCUUUGCGCCAAAAGACGCUGAAGAUUUUUGUAAAAGCAAGAAAGUUCAAGCUCACUGGCGGAGUGAAGACGGGAGGACGGAGGGUUUUUACCCGGCAACUGUACACGCACUCGCCGAAACCAUGCCAGAAAUGAACAGCAAGAUAAAAAAAAUGAGAGAGCCCUUUCCGAGGCUCAUUGAAGUAGCUACGGAGCAACAACCACGCAAGAAAAGGAAGGAGCCCUCACAAAGAGAGGCCAAGCUCCAAAAAGUUGCUGCACAGGAAGCCCUGCACAGGAAAAUUUUGGAUGUUCACAAGGUGGGGGAAUGCAAAUUAAAAUAAUUUUUUUAAAUGCACGUUGACUACAGCAAGUGCAGCAAAUGUGCUUACGAAUUCUUUUUGUUACCAUUUCUAGGAAAAUGAAACUGUGUGUGAUGAUGAUGAAACUGAAAGUUUAAAAAGACAAAUUCAAGAGUUAAAGUGCAGUGAUGCAAAAAAAGAUACGCAAAUAAGGAGACUUAAGAGGGACCUGCGGGCAGCUGAAGAAAAAAUCAACAGGCUCACAGAUGCCCUACUUGACAAGAUAGAGAUUGCGCGCAGUGACGCAAUACGAGGCUCAGGUGAUGCAGCUGUUGCUGCAGCAGAUUUGCCCAGUCAUG